rnacentral:rRNA from 1 species
UACGGGGGGGGCAAGCGUUGUUCGGAAUUACUGGGCGUAAAGGGCUCGUAGGUGGCCAACUAAGUCAGACGUGAAAUCCCUCGGCUUAACCGGGGAACUGCAUCUGAUACUGGAUGGCUUGAGUUUGGGAGAGGGACGCGGAAUUCCAGGUGUAGCGGUGAAAUGCGUAGAUAUCAGGAGGAACACCGGUGGCGAAGGCGGAUCUCUGGGCCAUUACUGACGCUGAGGAGCGAAAGCGUGGGGAGCGAACAGG